UACGUAGGCAGCGAGCGUUGUUCGGAAUUACUGGGCGUAAAGAGUGUGUAGGCGGUGCUCUAAGUUCGGUGUGAAAUCUCCUGGCUCAACUGGGAGGGUGCGCCGGAAACUGGAGUGCUUGAGCGUGGGAGAGGAAAGCGGAAUUCCUGGUGUAGCGGUGAAAUGCGUAGAUAUCGGGAGGAACACCAGUGGCGAAGGCGAGUCUCUGGGAUGAUGCUGACGCUGAGGCGCGAAAGCCAGGGGAGCAAACGGG
rnacentral:rRNA from 1 species